rnacentral:rRNA from 1 species
AUGCACGCUGGCGGCGUGCCUAAUACAUGCAAGUCGAGCGAACGGACGAGAAGCUUGCUUCUCUGAUGUUAGCGGCGGACGGGUGAGUAACACGUGGAUAACCUACCUAUAAGACUGGGAUAACUUCGGGAAACCGGAGCUAAUACCGGAUGAUAUUUUGAACCGCAUGGUUCAAAAGUGAAAGACGGUCUUGCUGUCACUUAUAGAUGGAUCCGCGCUGCAUUAGCUAGUUGGUAAGGUAAUGGCUUACCAAGGCAACGAUGCAUAGCCGACUUGAGAGGGUGAUCGGCCACACUGGAACUGAGACACGGUCCAGACUCCUACGGGAGGCAGCAGUAGGGAAUCUUCCGCAAUGGGCGAAAGCCUGACGGAGCAACGCCGCGUGAGUGAUGAAGGUCUUCGGAUCGUAAAACUCUGUUAUUAGGGAAGAACAUAUGUGUAAGUAACUGUGCACAUCUUGACGGUACCUAAUCAGAAAGCCACGGCUAACUACGUG